GUGUUGUGCACAAACAAUGAAUCAUGGAACACCACAUCUAAAACUAAUGAUGUAAUGUAGGGGAUUAACAUAAGAAUAAAAAAAAGAAGAAGAAAAGCACACUGGUAUAAGAUUGAGAUUUGGGUUUUCUAUGUUAAAAUGACAAGGUUUUCUUGGAUUGUUAGUGUACUCUUUUUUUCUUUCUUAAGAUUGUAUUUAUUUAUUUGACAGAGAGAGACACAGCGAGAGAGGGAACACAAGCAGGGGGAGCGGGAGAGGGAGAAGCAGGCUCCCGGCCAAGCAGAGAGCCCGAUGUGGGGCUCGAUCCCAAGACCCUGGGAUCAUGACCUGAGCCGAAGGCCGACAGACGCUUGACGACUGAGCCACCCAGGCGCUCCUCCGAGAUUUUAUUUUUUAAAUAAUCUCUACACUGAACGUGGGGCUCGAACUCACAACCCUGAGAUCAAGAGUCGUGCUCUCUACCGACUGAGCCAGCCAGGUGCCCCUGGACUGUCAUCUCGAAGAGACACAUGCGUAGACUCAGAUAUGGCCCUGCUACCAAAUACUGGCUGUCUCUGCAGAAGUCUGGACUCAAGGUCAACUGAUAAUGGCUGCAGCCUAUGAAGAAGCGAGGUCCUGAUUCCUUACCUGAGAAAAGGAGCCUAAGACCCCAUCCAGGUUGUACCAGCUCUCAGAGCAUGCCCACAGCCUCUUCUCCUUGUCCUCAGAUAACCUCCUGACAUCAGGGACUCAGUUUUGCCUCAUUCAGAUGUCAGGUCUCCACCCCGAAGUAAACAUGGGAAUCUAUGAGAAAUUAGAUCCCAUCCAGCAAGAGCUGAAUCCGAGUCCUCUGCUCACCCCACGACGGAAAAGAAUAUGCACAGGCCUGCAUCCCUCUUCUCCUUCUCCACCAUGUCGGAAGAAAAGAUUUUACUGGACAGAGACACAGCGAGAGAGGGAACGCAAGCAGAGGGAGUGGGAGAGGGAGAAGCGGGCUUCCCGCCGAGCAGGGAGCCCGAUGCGGGGCUCGAUUAUCGGGACCCUGGCACCCUGGCACCCUGGCACCCUGGGAUCAUGACCUGAGCCGAAGGCAGACGCUUAAUGACUGAGCCACCCAGUCGCCCCCCACUUUCCACCUUGACCGUGCCUAGUCGUCCACCCGUCUAGUCCUCUUGGCCGCGCCUGGUCUUGCCCUCGAAUGUGUUCGUCUGGAGCACAGAGCUAGAUCCAGAGAAUGAGAGAAUGAGAUCGAUGGACCCACGGACGGAAAUCAAGUUUCUCUUUCCCUGAAAUGACCUAGGACACUCCUCUUCUAGUCAGCUCCCAUCCUGCUCCCCCACCCCCAACAACCUCUCAUCGGACCUUCCCCUUUUGCCACCAGAAAGCUUUUCCACUCCUCCGCCUGGCCUGCGUUUGCUUGGCGUCUCUGCCAGACCCAGGCGGUGGUGGCCGACCGCAGACUCUCUUGCCCUCAAGAAAUGAUUCCCGCUCUCAUGUGGGUGAUCUUUUAUCUCCACAGAGGUGGCUCACAAAGCUGCACAACCUUCACUGCAAUUUCCAGAACAUUUCCAUCACCGCCAAAAGAAAUAAACACCUCUACUACCCCUCCCCCCUUCCUGUCCGCGCCUCGCCCCCACCCGCCGUCACCGUCGCCCUCGCCGUCACCGUCGCCCUCGCCCUCACCCGGGCUCUCUUCACUGUUCUCCCCCAACAGGGAGUAGAAAGGGAAGUUAGAGGGAACAUUCUUCCUCCCCUACACCUGCUGAACGCACAUGGACACACACCGCAACCCUCCCCGCCAGGCGCGCGCACCCACCCACCCCCGCCCCGCCAAGCCCCGCCCCGCCACGCCACGCCACGCCACGCCCCCCAUCCCGGCCUUACGUGUACCUUACGUACCUCUGCACGGACUCGAGAUUUGGCAAUAGCCUUGAUUGCCCUGCAAUGUUUCCAAACCUCGGCGCUCCCCAACCUUCCCCACCCCGACCCCCGCCCCUUCGAAGAAGAACUAACCUAAUUCGGGGAGCUUCCAGGUUGCUUGAACGCCUGAAAUGGUGGGGACAGAGGCGUUCCUGGAGAGGGGUCACGGAACACGGAAGCUCUGCCCCCCUUCCCUUUGCCUCUGUUCCAUCUGGAGUUUCCUCAGUUGUAUCCUUUUAGGACACAGCGGUCAUGUAAGAAAUGAGAAAAAAAAGGACUGAAGGACUGAACCGGGCUAGACUGGUUUAAAAUUCUUCACUAGCGUCCAUGCCGAAUACAUUUCGACGACAGGGGCCUUCGCACGGCUUUUGGUGCACAGAAGACCGAUGCACCGAAGCCUGCCGAUCUCGGGACGUGUCCACGAGGGGAAAGAGUGUCAGCCUAUCGGAAAAGAGAGUCGGUUAACGUAGAUUGCAAAGGCAUUCGUUCAUCCCGAGAGACUUCCUCUCCAUGAUGGCGGGUGGCGCGAGAUGGAAGAGUUGGCUUCCAUGAAAAAGGGGCCCUUUCUUGAAGACCCUGCCCAGCUAUCGGGGUUUUGUUGGUUUGUGUUUUGUCAUCUGUGAUAGGAAGGCAUCUUCUUAGCCAUCGGGAGGGAAACCUCAACAAAUUCAGCCAUUCAGAUCACAAGGGAUUUCUUGGGUUUGGUGGAUCUGAGAUCUGGUCUGCCUCCGACUGCUCCCCGAGAUUGCCUUUAUGCCGAGAAUGGGAUUCCUCAUCAGACACACAGAAGUCCGGCUCCUUGCCACGGAGCUGGCUGCUCUAUGGAUGCCUUUAAAAAGGAAGCCUGCCUUUAAUUCGGACGUCGGAACGUGAUCGGUCGCUUUUUCAUGGGGGGUUGGCCAAUUAAAUUUCCCCCGCCUUGGGCGCCUGGGUGGCUCAGUUGGUUAAGCGGCUGCCUUCGGCUCCGGUCAUGAUCCUGGAGUCCCUGGAUCGAGUCCCGCAUCGGGCUCCCUGCUCAGCAGGGAGUCUGCUUCUCCCUCUGACCCUCCCCCCUCUCAUGUGCUCUCUCUCAUUCAUUCUCUCUCUCUCUCUCUCUCUCUCUCUCUCUCUGUCUCAAAUAAAUAAACAAACAAACAAACAAACAAAUAAAUAAAUAAAUAAAAUCUUAAAAAAAAAAAAUUCCCCCCGCCUUACAAAGCAGAGACUGGUGAAGGGUCCUCCAAGUGCCCUCUGGAAAUCAAGAGCUUCUGUAUCAAGAGGCUGGAAAACGCAUCUUCCCCUUCUUCCUGGUGAAUCCAAUUCUAGGGGUUGAUUCAAAGGAAAUCAUGUUUUAGAUGCUAAAACGUAAAGCUUACUUUUGCAAAAAUGUGCAUCGCGGCAUAGGGUUUAGGAAUCCCUUGUGGCAGACCGACAACCGUGUGUCCCUCACGUCCCGGCACGUGUGCACCCUCACGUCCUAUGACUUCGAUGCUCCUGCUAUCCAGAGGUAGGCUUGAUUGCUCUGUCCCUUGAUUUUGGACCGGGUCUUGGGACUUGUCUUGACCCAAAGAAUAGAGCAGAAGUGACACUUGGCUGGUUUCACAGCCUACACCUGAAGAGGUGGUCUGCCGGCGUUCUCGACCUUCUUGGCAUGCCGUCCUGAGACCUCCACGUAAGAAAGCCAGUCUAGCUGACUGGAGCAUGAGAGGCAUUGACAACAGAGGCAGCCCGGUGCUCGGCGGCACCGACUGCCAGACGUGUGAAAGUUGACCCUCUGGCCGAAAGCCACUGCUUGAGUGAGCCCGGCGUAAACCCGCAGAACCCAAGGGGCCACCCAGGGCAAGCACCAGGAAGUUAUCGAUAAAGAAAUGCUGUUUCGAGCCAUUGCGGUGUUAGGAUGAUGCACCCUGAGGAUCAGCUAGCUGCGCAGCAGCGAUAGAUACCGUGCACACAGAUACACACCACACAACACACCACACCACACCCCCCCCCCACACACACGUGUGCAGAAAACCAAACCAACGAAACAAACCAAAACUCUGUAGAACCCUGCACCAAAUGUUGAGGAAACAACGGCCCACCCUCACAAGAAACACCUGCACGCUACAUGUACAAUGCAUAGGGAGCCUAUACUUGCAAGUGCUUACUUGCAUGGGAAACAUUUCACGAUAACAUGAGUCUCAGAUGGCCCAAGCGGGGUUCUUUUGACAUGUCUGAAUUGUGUACACAAUUAGAGAAAGCCUGCUAGGAGACUGGGUGAUCAGAAACUAGGAAGCUCUUUGGUUCCCUCAGUGAAGCCCCGACUUUUGGGGAGGAACCAACACUCAGGGAGAUGCUCUGGUCUUCAUUUGGUUGGUUGGUUGGUUGGUUGGUUGGUUGGUUGGUUGCUGCAGCUUUUGCUAUCUUUGCAUAAAACCGACCCUGUUUCCAUUGGGAAUGGAAAACAACUGACGGGUGGGAUCUGUACACGGUAAUGCUGCUUCGCAGUUGCAUUUGUUUUACUAAAAGAGGGAGAUUUGAACAUUGGGUCUUUCGUGUCCUCUCCAUUCAUGUCCUCUCCACAAAUAAGACUGAAACAAAGGCUAAAAUUUGUUUGCAUCUUGUUUGUGUCUAUGUGUCCGUAUGUGUUAUACAUGUGAGGUAUUUCCUCCACCUCCGGGUGCUAUUGCUAACAUCCAUUUGUAAAGGAGCUCUAUUUAAUGAGUUCUAUUUUUAUUUUAUUUUAUUUUAUUUUAUUUAUUUUAUUCUUUAAAGAUUUUAUUUAUUUAUUUGACAGAGAGAGACACAGCGAGAGAGGGAACACAAGCAGGCGGAGUGGGAGAGGGAGAAGCAGGCUUCCCGCCGAGCAGGGAGCCCGAUGCAGGGGCUUGAUCCCAGGACCCUCGGAUCAUGACCUGAGCUAAAGGCAGACGCUUAACCACUGAGCCAUCCAGUCAAAAUAAUGAAGAAGAGGAGGAAGACAGGCCGAUGCUAGAAAUCUGAAAUCCACUCCUCCUCCUCCCCAAGUACAGGCACCAGAACCGAUGCCCAACCCACUGGCUUCCGGAGGGCUGAAAAGCCACCACAGACAAAGCCUAUUAAGCAGAAGGAGAUGAA